ACGUACACUCCUGCGGGAGGCAGCAGUGGGGAAUUUUGGACAAUGGGCGCAAGCCUGAUCCAGCCAUGCCGCGUGCGGGAAGAAGGCCUUCGGGUUGUAAACCGCUUUUGUCAGGGAAGAAAAGGUUCUGGCUAAUACCUGGGACUCAUGACGGUACCUGAAGAAUAAGCACCGGCUAACUACGUGCCAGCAGCCGCGGUAAUACGUAGGGUGCAAGCGUUAAUCGGAAUUACUGGGCGUAAAGCGUGCGCAGGCGGUUAUGCAAGACAGAGGUGAAAUCCCCGGGCUCAACCUGGGAACUGCCUUUGUGACUGCAUGGCUAGAGUACGGUAGAGGGGGAUGGAAUUCCGCGUGUAGCAGUGAAAUGCGUAGAUAUGCGGAGGAACACCGAUGGCGAAGGCAAUCCCCUGGACCUGUACUGACGCUCAUGCACGAAAGCGUGGGGAGCAAACAGGAUUAGAAACCCGAGUAGUCCCAUGA
rnacentral:rRNA from 1 species